GUAGAGUGAAAAUAAUAAUUCCAGACAUCAAUAAUGCAAAAAUCCCUCCCCCACACCAAUAACUUACAUUGUCCCCAAUGUAAGAUAAUCAAAGCUCACAUAAAAAUUAAACAUUCCACAAAGCACGGACGUUUAUUUGAGAACUUUCUCUCCUUUCAACCUACUAGGCCAAAAGCAUUCUAGACAGAUUCCAGCAAACAAUCAUUAUACAGCACCAAAAAACGAGACUAGACUAACUGACAAGCCCUAAUGAAAGUACACUAUCAGUUAUUUAUUAAUUGUCGCUCAAACCAAAUAAUACCUGUGUCGACCUGCAACAUUGUCCCAUAUAAAAAGCCCAGCUGCUGUGCAAAAGGCUCACUACUCUCCUUCUUCUCUUCCUCCAUUCCCUCCACUGCAUCAUUUUUUUAGCAACAUUGCCAUUAUCAUUAUUCCCUUUACUCACUUCCACUGCCCCCUCCGUACUCCUCUUGCAUCAUUACCCUCUAUUCCUUUGACUUUAACCGCCCCCUCUUCAUCCUCAUAAACAUCCCCUUCUUCAUCAUCUUCUUCUAAUUCUGUCAUGUUCCUCUUCGCCUUCUUCAUCAUCAUCAUACUCAGCUGAAGCACCACCUUGGCCAUCAGAUUCAUCGUAAGAAUGAAUUUGGACCCUUCAAUUAAUUCGACGCUCAAAUUCUGUCUCCUCCUCCUCAUCGCUUGUUUCCCUUCUGCGCAGAACGAGAGAGUGUGCCACUUCAUCUGGAUCGCUCUCAUACUCAUCCACAGCCUCCGCUUCUCCCGCAGGAAUAUGCACACUUUGAGCGAUUGGAAGCUCUGAAUAUCUCUCAUCCCCCGCCUCCUCCUCAUCAGUGGCUUCCCUUCUGAGCAUCACAAGAGAGCGUUUCCCGUCAUCUGGAACCCUACCAUACUCCACCGCCUCUGCUUCUUCCGGAGCUACGGCCGCCGUUGUAGUAUCGCUAGCCAUCAAUUAAUUAUUAAACGCCCAAUCGUUUUAUGAAUUUUAAUUUUAAUUUUAUAAAAAAAAAUCGAAAUUGCAUUUAACCCUUCAAACUGAAACCGUAACUAGACGAAAUUGUACUCAACAAAACCCAAUAAUCUGAAAAUCCCUAAAAAUCCAAAUUAUUUUCAGAACCGAACAACAAUUUAAGGAUACGAGACAAGCAAAAUCCACUAAAAAAUACUAAAUUUUGAAGCGAAUCCUCGACAAUCGAAACGCUAGGGAGGUUAAAUUGAGAUUUUCAAGGAUUGGGAUCUAGGUUUAGCGAUUCUUGAGAAACCUAGAUUUUUAGGUAACGAGGAGAAAUUUUUAUAAUUUUCCCUUUAAAUAAAGACUGUAAGGAUACGUCGUCAUCAGUCGAAUCGAGGAUAGUAUUUAUACGAGUAGAGUGAAGGUAAUUAUCUUGACUUUGUAAGGGUUUCUUUGGAAAUACAAAGAAAGUUUGGGGAUUGGUCAGAGAGUGACACGUGGAAUGAGAACAUUGUUUAACUUCUGGCGUAAGAUAAUAAGAUAUGAUUCGGUCACUAUGAGUUACAAUUGCAUGGCCACAGCCAGUUAGCCACAGGCUUAUUAACGCUAAUUAUAUUUGUUUUGUAGUUGUGUUUGCUUCAAAUUGAAUCUUGAAUCUUGAAGUUGAAUCUAAGGCGUGAAGAAAAAUGGAUCAAUGAGAUUAUGCCAUGGAAGCAUCUAAAAAAAUAUUGUGAUGUGUUUACUUCUCGAACUAAAAAUUGAAAUCAUUAACAUCAUUUACUUGACAAAUAAAUGUAAGAAUUGGAAUCGAAAUACUGGAAUCCACAUCAAAUUAGAGAGAGAGAAUGGGAGAUUAAUUUUUAGGAUGGUUGGAAAUCAGUCUCUUGUUCACUGAACUAUACAAUUUGCUCAUAUUAAAAUUACUAAAUUUUGAAAAUACACCCCAAUAAAUUAAAAAAUAUAAAUAAAAAAGAAAUCAUAACACCAGCAUCACACAUUGCUUUAUCAGUGGUCAUGUGAGAUCACAACAUCGAGAUUGGGAUCUAGUUGGCUGAUCAUAACUGGUUGUCUCCAUUUGGGCACAUCAUCUUUGAAGCAGAAAUUGGUUGCCGGGAUCUUCAUCGUCUUCAGCUUCACUAUCCAAUCUUCAUUGGGCGGUCUUCACUACUAGUAAUAAUAAUAAUAAUGAUUUAUUAAAUUUAUUAUUAUUGUCUCUAUUAUUAUUAUUAUUAUUUUCAUUUUUAGUAUUAUUUUUAUUCUUAUUAUUAUUAACAAUAUAACAUAUACAAAUAAUACUAGAGACAACAAUUACCAAAUGAUUUUUUAGUAACAUGUAAUAGUCUAUUAUAAUUUUAAGAGAAACUAAACACAUCAAUUUGAGUAAAAUUUAUUCCGAUUCCGAUUCAUACAACUUAAAUAAACAACUUAUUUUGAUUAUAAUUCCUUAUUUCAAAUCAAGUCCAUUCCAAUUCUAACUCAUUCUAAUUCUCAUUUAGUAAAGACACCAUUAAAGAGGACAUAAUCAAUGUAUCGUAUUGGUUUCUUUGUUGUCUUUUGAGAGACCCACAAACCAUAUGCAAUUUUUGCUUCCAUUAAAUAUUUAUUUGUCAACUUACAUUACAUUGUAUUAUAUUGUACUAAAAUAUUAUUUUCAUUCUAACUCAUAUUUGGUUAUAAUUUUUUGAUGCAUUGCACUGCAUUAUAAAUGUGUUAAUAUAAUAAAAGGUGUAUAAAAUAAACUCAUUGGGGGUAAGAUUUAUACUAUAAUACAUUAUAAUACUAUUUAGAUUUUCAAUAUAAUCAUUUAGCUUUUAUUAUUUAACAAAUUAUAAUAAAUUUAAAUUAGUAAAUAUUAAUUUAUGUUCAUAUGUAAAUAAAAAAUAAUUUAAAUAAUAAUAUAACAUACUAAAAACCUAAACAUUUAUUAAAUAAAUGUUUAUACAUUAUCGAAUAGAAUUUUCGAUGUUUAAAGUGGGAACGAAAAGAUUAUAAUAUAAAAGAUUAACAAUUUCAAUAAUUUUAGACUAAGUUGCUAGUCCUGACAGCCAAAUAUAACAUUUGAUUAAAUUAAUUUUUUAGUUCCAAAAAUAUAAUCCAAUCCCAAAAUUUAUCCAUGCUCACUACGUAGCCUUACUAACCAAUUAUAAUGAAAUUGAGGCCUUUAUAUAAAUUACAAAUAAAUUUUCAAUAUCAAGAUCAAAGUCACUGCAACAUUGAAAAAAUAAAAAUCUAAUUUUAGGCCGUUUGUGAUUUCAAGCAUUUGUUUCAUUUGCAGUUUCCGAUUACUUUAAAACAAAACAUUUGAAUGAAUUACUAUUGAGUAGAGUUUUCAAUGUCAUUUAGGUAAUUAAAAAAAUAAUAAGUAAUGGACAUUGAAUGACUUUAAUAAUUAAGAUCACGCUUAUGAUUAAAAGAAAAUAAAGGGUUUAUUUUUUAAUUUGAAAAUUUUAUUGCAUAGACUCAAUCUAAUUAACAUAUUAAAUGUUUGUAAGAUAAAUAUAUUUCUCAUAAUCUGUAAGUCGUCUUAAAUGAUAUCAUGUCUUAUAUAUGUAGUAUAAUCCUUUAAAUCCCACUUUAGACAUUAUUGGCAAUUUUUCAAACUAAUUAAUUGUGUUAAAACAAUUUUAUGAUGCUCCAAAGAUUAUUGGUUCAUAAUUUGCGUGUGUAAAAUUAUACUAGAGUAUUUAUGUUUAAGUUUUUUCACUUCAUUGUACUUUCUCUAUAAUUAUCUCUAGUAUUUAUACAAAAAUGUUUAAUUCAUACGAACUUAAUCAUAUUUCAAUAAUAUUACUCAUGCUCUUUUUCAAUUGAAAAUUACUUAACUAAUAAAAAAUAAAUUAAUUUAUUUCUUAUUUUUAAUUUAAAACUCAGUUAAAUACUUAAAUGAAUUAUUCUUUUAACAAUUUUUUAACCCACUCCAUUCUCUAUUUUAUAUUUAUAUUUUAAAUUAAAAAAUAUAUUUUUAAAAAAUUAUGGGAGUUUAGAGUUAUGGAGAUAUAAACUAUAUAAUAAGAAGAAAAUAAUUUAAUAGUUUAGGACUUGCAUGAAUUUUAUAAUAAAAAUAGAUAAGGAAUAUAUUUUUAGGUUGAAAUUUAUGAGAAAAAGAUUAAAUUUAACAAAUGGAUUUAUUUUUUUAUAAAUUAAACUGAAUGUAUUUUAAAAAAAAAUUAAAAGUGGCGUUGUAAGUAUUUUGGUGGAGGUAAUGAUUGAAAACUCUACUCAUAUCCAUUUUAUCAAAUGGCUGGCAAAACAGUCUCUCGUGUCAAAUUGAAAAUUUGAAAUAUCCGCGAGUAAUAUUUUCCUUUAUCAAAGAGGAAGCAUGAAACCUUGAGCGAAGAUUAAUGGAGAAAAUAGGAGAACAUGUGGACAAAUAAGAUUAAUGAAAAGAAUUUUGCCUAUAAUACAAGAGACUUGUUUGUUGCUGUCAAAUUGCUCUUGACUCCAGGUUCAGAAAACAACCAUAACUACUAAUACUCUUACACUCUAUUAUUGAAGUUAUUCUCUAUGAAGAUUAGAAUUUCAUUACCUGUCAAAGAAAAGAAAAUUAAUUUAAAAUUUUCUUUUGAUGAACCUCAAUAGUAUUAGAGAAGCUUUAUUGAAUAAACAUAAAAAGGAUACGUGUAAUUAGGAGAGGGCAUAAUCAACCUUACCCCUAAAAACAAACUACAUUCAAACCAACAAAAACAUAAAGGAGAACGAAAAAUACAUGCAUGCAAAUUAAAGAAAGCAAGAGCAGUAACAAAACAUAUCAACAAAAGUUGUAUGAAGGAUAACCGUUCAAGUCUCUGAAAAGGAUAGCAAGCAAUGAAGGAGGGCCAGAAUCAAUUUAAAUUUGAUUGUCUUACACAUCUGCCUCCAACAUUUCUAAGUAAUGAGUCUCUAAUUUUUAAGAGUUUUGUUACAAUUUCUUUUGCAUUGAUUCUCUGCUUAGGAAAUUCCAUAGUGCACUCCAUAGCCAAAUUGAAGACAAAUGACACACAUUGCUCUUUUGCAACAAAAUGUAUGUCCUCCUGACUUAGCAAAUUAGCAUCAACAACUUCCAUAGUGGAAAUGGGUAGCCAAUCAUUAACCCAAUGCUUUAAUGUCAUUUCUCCAUUAAACAUUUCAUCUGUGGGUUUCUUCCCAGUAAAUGUUUCCAUUAACAUAAUCCCAAAGCUAUAAACAUCUCCAUUUGCGGAUACUCGUCCUUCUCUUCCAUACUCUAUGAAUUGCAACAUUUACAUAGUAAGAUAUAUCAUUAAUAAGAAUUUCCUCAUCUAAUAAAGAUCAUGAAACAUAAAUAACUUGUUAGGAAGUUAACAAGAAAUAUAAAAUAUUCAUAUUGAACAAACCUGGUGCCAUAUAGCCUAUUGUGGCAAGUGUUUGUGUUUGAAUCAUAGAUUGAUCUUCUCCAGUUAACAUUUUUGCGAUGCUAAAAUCACUCAAAUGAGCAACCAUAUUAUCGUCUAACAACACAUUGCUGGGCUUUAAGUCACAAUGAAUUACUGGAGCUGAGUAACCAAAGUGCAGAUAUUCUAAAGCUGAUGCAACAUCUAUCAUUAUGUUCAAUCUUUGAAAAAUAUCCAAAAUGCAGUUACUUGAAUACAAGUACUUCUCCAAACUUCCAUGAGGCAUGUAUUCUAAUACCAAUGCUUUAAACUCUUCAUUUGAACAACUGCUAAUAACUUUGAUAAGGUUUCGAUGGCGAAUACUUUUCAUGAUUUCACAUUCAACAUCGAAACUCUUAAAUGCUCUUCCACAUUGCGAAGUGAAGACCUUCACUGCAACCUCCAUCCCGUCCCCAAGGCUUGCCUUAUAAACAGAGCCAAACCCUCCUCUGCCGAUUAGAUUGUUUUCACUGAAUCCAUCUGUUGCUCGACAUAGUUCUAGGUAUGAAAACAUUCUCCUUGAUGCUACUAGUGGCCCAUUAGCAUCAUUCGAUGGUCGUUUUCCCCUUUGUCGAUAUCUUAGGAUUAACAAAAUGACUACUAUCAUAAAUGUAGUACUCAAUGGCAAGACAAUCCCUAAGAGAAUAGAUUUUUUCCAUGAUUUGUGGUGGAUGCUAGUUUUGCAUGGCGGGAUUUGUAAAUUGGGUGAACCACAUAAUAAUUCAUUUCCCUCAAAUGAUUGAGCUGAGAAAUUUCCAAAAGAUCCUCCUCUAGGAAUUUUUCCUUCUAGCUGGUUGAAAGAAAGAUUUAGAUCUUCAAGAUAUGAGAGUUUCUCUAAAGAUGCAGGAAUAACCCCAGAGAGAUUAUUAUUGGACAAAUUCAAGAAUUUCAAACUUAUCAAAUCACCAAAAGAAUUAGGAAUCGAGCCUUGCAAUCUAUUAUAUCCUAAAAAGAGAUAUUCUAGAUUUUUUAGGCCUCCAAUUUCUGUUGGGAUAACGCCUGAAAAAUUAUUCCUCGAUAAAUCAAUUCCAACCAAAACCUUCAAACUUCCAAUCUCUAAUGGGAGUGAGCCAGUCAAAAAAUUUGAUGAAAAGUUGAGGUUCAAGAUAUCCUUAAGGUUCCAAAAAGUUAAGGGAAUAGAAGUUAACUCAUUGGAACCCAACGACACUAUCCUCAGAGAAGUCAGAUUACUGAAGCAUGCAGGGAUUGAUCCAGAAAGCUUAUUCCCAUCUAAAUCCAAUCUAUACAGUUCAGCCAAAUUACAAAUAUCAUAUGGGAUUGAUCCUUCUAAUUUGUUAUCUUUAAGACCCAAAUCUUGAAGCUUUUGUAAUUUGCUGAGAGUAAUCAGAAUUGAUCCAUUCAAUUUAUUGCCCCCUAAAUAAAUGGUUCUCAAGUUGGUCAAGUUGCUUAUCUCUUCAGGGAUGCCACCACUAAUGUUACAAUUGGACAUUUUAAAUUCUUCCAAAGAAUGAGAAAGAUUACCGACAGUCGUCCUUGGAAGAAUUCUAUAUAAUGGAUUAUAUGAUAAGUCAAAAUAUUUUAAAAACUUGCAAUUUGACAACGAGGAUAGAAAGCUCAAUUCUUGAGUUGAAGAUGUCAAAUAAUUAUCAGAUAAAACCAGCCAACUAAGGUUUCUUAAGUUGCCAAAUGUGUUGGGAAUAAAACCGGAGAAUGAGUUACCUUCCAAAUCUAGUAUAGAGAGCUUAGAAGCAUUAAAGAUGAAACGAGGAAUUGUGCCACUGAAAUUAUUACCCCAUAAAGAAAGGAUUUCAAGAUUUGGAAGUCGGGCGUAUCCAAUGGACGAAAGACAUCCCGAGAGAGAAUUGUCCUGAAGGCCAAGAAUUUUGAGUGUUGACACAUUGAAGAUUGCGAUUGGGGCAAUACCAACUAAUUUAUUAUCACCAAUGUCCAACUUCUCCAGAUUUCGGAGAUUGCCGAUUUUAAGUGGUAUCUUCCCUGUAUUUUAAUAGAAUUAUAUUUAGAUUAUUUUUCAAAUAAUAAAUAAUUCAAAAAACAGACGCAAUUUCGUAAUAAAAGGUCAUUUAUACACUACACAAUUAUUACAAGUACUAACACACAAGAAAAGCCACUCAUGAAGUAUUGAAAGGCUACACACCAUCAAUGCUUUGUUAGUUAUAUACAAAUUGCUGCACAUAUUCUUUUAUUUUUAUUUUUAUAUUUUUUUUUUGGGUAAACUAUAGGUAAAAUAUAUAUGUGAUUUAAGUGUAGAUAGAUUGCACGGUAAAUUAAAAGGGAGGGUUAAGUAUUAAUAGUGCACAUUUAGAGCAGUUACGAGAGAAAUGUAAUAAAAUAUAUUUGAUUAAUAUUUGUAAAAAUUAGUAGGUAAAACAUGUAUUCGAUUUAAGUAAGAGAUAGAUAGAUUAUGUGGUUAAAACGAAUUAAAAGAUCAAAUUGUGUGGUGAGAAGUAAAAAAGCCUAAGUCGGUGGCUGCGACUCUUAAAGUAAAUCAAGCCCCAGUGAUAGCCCAAAAAAAAAGAGUAGUAUUUCAAUUACAGCAAGAUAAAAUAAAUUAAUUCAGUAAAAUAAUUUCUUUUCAAAUUUAUCCUACUAACAUGGUCUUAGACUCUCAGGCAACUUCGACUCUAAUCAACUCAUUUGUGAAUAAAUUGUGGUGACGCUGAAAAGAAGCUCAAUUCAAAUAGAACUUUCAAUAGGCCCGUGGGACAAGGAAGCGAAGCGAAGCUCGACCGAUUCGAAGUUAUCAACAAUUAGUUCAAGUUUUCCAAAAUUGAAAUGCUAAAGACUAAAUUUAUUUAUGAGUAAAUCAACAAUUUCUAAUUUUCCUACUAACCAAGAAAAUUUAUACAUUGAAAAAUGAUCAUACAAAUAUGUUUUUGACUAUUUUACAUUUAUAACUAAGAAAAAUUGAAUCCAAAGGUUUAAAAUAAUUGCAAAUAAUUUUUUUUCAAAAUAUAAUAAAAGCAAGUAUUUUAAAUAUAAUAAUAUAAAUUAGAUUAUUUGUCUCAAAGCAUUUUAUUGAUAAUGGUAAAUUAGUAUAAAUAUACACUUUUAUGUCAUGAAAUGAGUAUACGUAACUCAAAUGUUUUAAAUACAAGUUUCAGUUUAAUUAUUAUACGUAGAUAAAAUGUUAACAAAGUAUUAAAUUUAUAUUUUUACUAAGUAAUUAUAAAUAUUAUUAGUACCAAUAGUCAGAUAAAAUAAGGACACAGCAAGCCCAAGUCAUGAGUACUGUACUUCUCCUCUCUUUUUAACUAUUAUUUCAGUAAAAUAAUUUUUUUUCAAGUCUAUUUUCAUAUUUAUCCGCUGAAAUUCUAAGGAGGACCAGUUCUCAACAUUUGUUUCAAAAUUUUCAAUUGAAAAGCUUAAACACUAAGUUAACUUUUUAGCAAAUAAACAAUUUCUAAUUUUAAUAGCUACUAACCUUCAAGAUAUUAUAAAUUCCAAGAUUGAACAUCAACCGUUAAGAUAAAAUAUUAUGCGAUUGAUGACUAAAAAUUUUUUUAGAUGAAAAAUUAUGCCAUAAUUGCAGUGAAGAUGUAACUCUUUAAUAUUAAAAAAAUUGUUGAUUUCUUUUGGUAUGGUGCUUGUUAGGAAAUUAUGUAUCACUGAUGGUAUCUCCAAUUAUUUAAAGAUAAUUAGUGAAAUAUUUUAUGAAGUUGUCACACAUGUAUAUCAUUAGUGAACCAUACUUGUGCAGAUAAUUUUUGAGAAAUCCAAAUUCAGUAAAGAAGAAAGAUUGACGAUUUAUUCUACGUGUUUUUAAUUUUUUUUUAAAUGCUAUGGAAUUUUGAGUUAACACAAACUAAUUUCUAAUAAAAAACGGAAUAAUGUUAGAUAGUGAUAACUACACAUCCUCAUAUGAGAAUUUAUAUUUUAUAAUGAGAGACUUGAAAUCUUUUAAUUAAGAAGCGGAAGAUGUCUCAUAUAUAUAUCGUAAAGAAAGUUACCGGUCAAGUUAUUCUCGAACAGCUCUAAGAUCUCCAAUUUUGCAAGAUUCCCCAAUUCGUGUGGAAUACCUCCUGCAAAUUAAGUACAUAUAUAUAUGCGCAAACAAUUUGAUCACUCAUAUUUGGGGGGAAAAAAAAAAGAAUUUAUUGGCUGACGAAUAUCAUAAUAACAAUUUACUCUUCAAUUAUAUAAGAAUUAGGCUGACAAGAAUAAGAAUGAAACAUCAUUCAUUUUCAUCGACUUAAUUGGGAGCUUCAAAACGGAAGUGGCAAUAUGACAAAAGAAAAUUACAAAACAAUUUUUUUUUUAUCUGCAUAAAUUAAGAAAUGAAAUGAGUGAGGAGAGACAUGGAGCUUUAUCUCCAUCUGAAAGAAAAACAAUAAAUCAUAGCAUAAUUAAUGAACAAACGAAUGAAUACAGAAGCAAGCAGAGGCUAGAAAAAAAUUGCAAAAAGUUUCUAAUCAUACCUUGGAGAUUGUUUGCUGCUAACGACAUCAGCUCCAAUUCGGGAAGAUUGCCAAAUUCUCGAGGAAUUUCUCCUGCAAAUUAAUCAACGCGUGCAAAUUAUCUUAUGGAACAUUAUUCAUAAUACAACUUAUGGAACAAUUUUCAUAAUUAAACUCCGUGAUUACUCGCACCUUGGAGUCUGUUACGGCCAAGAUAUAAUUCCUUAAGGUUGGUCAAAUUGCCGAUGUCUUUAGGUAUGGCCUCCGAGAAAUCAUUGUAUGAAAAAUCUAACGUUCGCAGAUAUGUGCAAUUUGAUAGCGUGGACGGUAUGCCGCCAUGCAACAUGUUUUUGAAGAAAGCAAGGUACUCCAGAAAAGGAAGAUUACUGCAAAUAUUUGCACGAAUUUCACCAGACAGUGCAUUGCUACUAAGAUCAAGAUGUUGUAAAGAAGACUUGUUGGAGAUGAAAGAAGGGAAAGUGCCGGAGAGCUGAUUUCCACGGAGACAAACAUAUUUCAGUGUAUAUGUGGUGAAGAUGGCGGAGGGAAUGGAACCAAAAAGUCGGUUAAAACUGAGAUUGAGUGAUUGCAGAGAAGAAAGAUUCCCAAGUUGAGAAGGGAUGGUGCCUGUGAGAUUUAAGCUUGAAAUAUUCAAGACUGUGACUCUCUGGCUAUGGACUUCACAAGCGACGCCUGUCCAAUUACAGACAGGAGUACUUGUGUUCCAAUUCUUGGCCAAGAAAUUGGUCGGAUCAUGAGUUAUGUGAGCUUUCAGGGCCAACAGAGCAUCUUGGUCCGUGAUAGUAGAACUUGUGUUGGCUGUUGCUGCCGCGAUAAAUAAGGAAAUAAGAAUCAAACAAUGGAGUAAGAGAAAUCUGCUCAUCAUCAUGAGAGAAUGAGCUCUUUCCAUGAGAUGAGAGUAUUUAUAUUGUAAGCGUGUGCUUAGUUGGAUUGGUAAUGCAAGAACACUUAUAAGUUUGCUAUAUACCACCGAGUAUUUAUAGUGAAACCAAAAUUUCUAAGAAUGUAGAGGAGAAAAAGACCGGCAUGCGUUAAGGCUGACCUCAGUCAACCAAAACUUAUCCUUUGUGAUCCUAGCGAUUUUAGAAUUACUUUAAUAACUGGAAAAUGGAAUGUAAUUUUUUCUUUUUUUCUAAAUAAGCCCAUGACUUUUGUUUUUCUUUACAAUCAUUUUUGCAUCGGAUAGGGAUAUAUUAAUUUCCUAUGAUCAAACCUUCUAUUCUCACAACUUUUAUACAAAUUUCUAGUAACGAAUUCCAUAAUUUUGUUAGAAAUUUUAUUUUCGUGAAUUUGGAGCAAAUAUUGUCAAUGGAUAUAAUAUUAAAUUUUAGCAUUUGCAGACCGAGGAGAGAUUAUUACUUUGAUUAAAAAGAUUAAUUUAUAAUGUUAAAUUCUUAAAUUAUGUACCAAGAGGAGUGAAAUUUUUUAAAUUUGAUUGUGAAAUAUUUAUCAGAAAAUACUUUUAUUCAUCCAAAAAGAAGUUUUUAAAAUUUUCUUCUCUAUAUUAACAUGACAUAUAAUAAAUGUUGUAUUCCUUGAAACUCAAAUUUUUGGAUAAAUUGAAAUUACAUUUCUGUAUUUUUUUCUUUUAAAUUUGAAAAAUUCACCCGUCUUGAAAAUUCAUAAAAGUGCCACAAGUUGACAGCAAAUUGCCUAUGUCAAUGAAAGAGCACGCAAUGAGACCGAUUGUUUUUUUAAUAUAAGUACUCAUGUUAUGGUAUGAAUUUAACAAUGCUCAGUGGGACAGCAGAUAUUGAACUAUUUUUGCUUUUUUGUUUGAUAAUUCGAGGCUUCACCAGUGCCAUUAAGUAGUAUAACAAGAAAAGUAGGAAUAGUAAUGCGAAAUUUAAAGAAUAACUUUAUUUUUUUAAAAUUAGAUUGUGAUAGUGUUAUCGUAAAGUAAUACUAUUAAUUCAAAAAAUUAUUCUAUAAUUUUCUUCCUGUAAUACUUAAGUAACAUUUCUAUCAAAAAAAUUAUCAUUUAUCCAGAAAGUCGAUUAAAAAAAUUAGCCAAUUCUAUCAUAAAAUUUUUUUGGAUAAAUUGUUGGGAUUAGUCGUGUUUGAUAAUUGCAAUUACAUUUUUUUAAAAAUUGAGAUAAUAUACAAAAAAACAAACCUACAGAAGUAAAAUUGAGAUAAUAUCCAAAAAAUUAUACAACGUUGAUUUUAUGUCACAACCAACUUAAUCAGUAGUCUAAUUAUUAUGGCCACCAUCGAAAUAAAAAUUUCGGUGAAACAAUUCCACAUCAUCACCAUACUGACAUGGUGUGAUUUUUAAAUUUAAAUAUGACAAGCAUGAGACACGAAUGGUGGGAAUGCCCACUUGCAAUUUAAUUGGACGGUCCUAUCCUUCUGUCGCACCUAUCAAAAUUAAAUUGAAUUAGCCUUUUUUCCAAUUUCCCUACAAAAAUUUUCUUUUAAGAAGAAGAAUUAGUGGCCCAUUAAUUAAUUAAUAUACUCUGUAACAUCAAGGAUUGAUGGUGUUUGGGAGUUGGGAAAAUGGAAGAGAAAGUAACAGAAACGUAAAAUACGAGUUGCAGGUUCUAUAAAAGAGGGAUAAGAUGAAUCAAGUGAAGUGAAAGCACAAAAAAAUAUAUUUAGAUAAGUGACUCUUCAUGCUCUGUUCAGAAAGAGUUUAAAGAAUAACAGUAGAAAUAGUGAAAUUUUAAAGAAUAUUUUUAAUUGUGAUUGUGAUUGUUUUAUCGUAAAAUAAUUCCAUUAAUUUAAAAAAAAAUUCUAUAAUUUUCUUCUUGUACUAAGUCAGAACAUGACAUAUAUCAAAUAUUUAAAAAAUUAAUUCCUUAAACUCAAAGAUUUUUUUUGAUAUAUUGUUGGAAUUAGUGGUGUUCGAUCGGGCAUUCAUCUAAUGCUUACUUUUAGGCAGCUUAUUUCCUGCUUCUGCAAAGGGCAUUCAUCUGCUCUCUUCGGUUCAGCUGUCCACGACUCGAAGACCUCUUUCCUUACAAUUCCAAUCGAUACCAUUAUUCCAACAAUACUGAAAAAGAAGCUUUCGUCAACUUUCUCACAUGGAUGCGCACCUUCAUGCAUAAUUGCAUAUUGCAUUAUUUCUCUAGAAAAGCAAGAUUUGUUUCAUUUAGUAGAUAUGACUGUCUCUUGGAAUACAGUCAAGCAAAACAAAUCAGAUUAUGUCCCAUAUGAAAAUUCUUAUCACUUAGGUUAGGCAAAUAUGGAAAUCGUCCAUCUUCGAUCCAAUUACCUCACUGCAAUAAUAAUUUUUUAAGAAGACGAAAUCAGUGUCCCAUUAAUCGGUAUGAGUACAACAUUUUUGUCAAUCGUCGAAAUGAGGACUAUUUUCAUUUUACUGUUCUAGUCAUGAUGACAAAAAACUAAAUUUUUAAUAUGUUCACUGAAGAAAAAAAGAAACAAGAAAAAAUGUCUAUAAAAGCGUCAUCUUCAUGCAAUUCUACAAAAGUUCGUAACUAACCAAACUGCCACAAACUUGCAGAGGAUUCAGAUUGAAUAUGCCCCAUGAAAAUACGGUCAAGAGUAAAGGCCAGCGAAAAAGAAAGAAAGCUCGAAUGCAAAUAAAAUAAAAAUGUUUACGUUACUUUUAAAAAGUAAUUACCAAAGUGAAAUCAAUAGUUAUUUCAUAAAUAUACAGAAUUUCUCCCCCACUCGCACGAAAAGUAUUUAAUUUCGUAAUUUCUUUCACUUUAUAAUUCUGUACAAAGAAGUCAAUCACUGUAUGAAGAAGUCAAGCACUAUAGUUCGGUAAAAUUCCAUUUGCAUAUUUUAAAAAAUAAAAUGACCAUCAACAUAAUUGUUAGUAUUAUUUUAAAUAAUAAAAUAACGUUUUUCGUCCUGUGCAUCAUCAAACUCAUGACUUGACAACCAAUUCAUUAUCACCAAAUAAAAUGAUCAAUUAAUUUUAACCGCAGAGUACGUUGUUUCAUGAAAGCAGUGUUUGGGAGUUGGAAAAAAAAACCAAAAACAAGGAUUAGUAGUGUUUGGGAGUUGGAAAAAUGGAAGAGAAGGUAAAAGGGGAAAAAAAAAAACAAAAACAGAGAAAAUCUUUAUUAGAAAGUAAUAGAAACAUAAAACAUAAUUACUCAUGAGUAAUGUUAUUUGCACGUACACAAAAAUACACGAAAACACUAAAAGACUAGAAAUAUUUUAUUAAAAGAUAAAUUUAUCCACUUUAUUAAUCUUAUUUUUUUUGCAUAAGUAUUCUCAUUCUAUUUAUUUUGUGCAAUUUUUUGUGCAAAUAGGAUUUUCCGGUUCUAAUUAGUUUACAAUCUUUGGUGCUAUCUCAACAAUAUGUGUAUAGCACACUUGCCAGCAGUGCAUACAGUUACACAGCAACAGCCUUUGCAAGUUACAUCCGGAACAACCUACCUGUUAUAGCACACUUGCCAGCAUUGCAUACAGUUACGCAGCAACAGCCUUGCAAGUUGCAUUUUUAACAACCUGAAGUCUUGAAUCCCAAAAUAUUCUGUAAACUGAGUUCAGCCAAUGAACUGUGCUCCUUCCUUAGGCCAUAAUAUGAUUAUGAUCCAUGUGCUUAACCCUUCAGACCAAACUGUAAUUAACGAAAAUUACACUAAAAAAAACUGCAAAUCCCUAAUAAUUUUUUUUUUUUACAGAACCGAACAACAAUGUACAGUAAAUUUUAUUUUUUAUAUGAUUGAGAAUGAAAUUAUUGAAUUGUUGUGCUUUUAAUUGAUUUUUCUUUUAUUUAAUGUAUCAACAACCCAAUCUCUUCUCACUUGGAUGACGAGUAUUUAGUUUCUUAAUUAUUUUGCUUUGUAAUUCUGUGUAAAGAAGUCAAGCACCUUGGAUAUUUAAAAAUAAAAAAUAAAAUGACCAUCGAAAUAAUUGUUAGUCUUCUUUAAAUAAUAAAAUAAUGUUUUUGGUCCCCUUCAUCAUGAAACUCAUGAACUGACAUCCAAUUCAUCAUCACCAAACAAAAUGACCCAAGAAAGUUUUGUGCACAUCAAAUGGAGAAGUCCGUUUGUAUCAACUGUGCAGGUCAAGGUCGUGAAUUGACCGAGUCAANNNNNNNNNNNNNNNNNNNNNNNNNNNNNNNNNNNNNNNNNNNNNNNNNNNNNNNNNNNNNNNNNNNNNNNNNNNNNNNNNNNNNNNNNNNNNNNNNNNNNNNNNNNNNNNNNNNNNNNNNNNNNNNNNNNNNNNNNNNNNNNNNNNNNNNNNNNNNNNNNNNNNNNNNNNNNNNNNNNNNNNNNNNNNNNNNNNNNNNNNNNNNNNNNNNNNNNNGAAAAGUAUUUAAUUUCGUAAUUUCUUUCACUUUAUAAUUCUGUACAAAGAAGUCAAGCACUGUAUGAAGAAGUCAAGCACUAUAGUUCGGUAAGAUUCCAUUUGCAUAUUUUAAAUAAUAAAAUGACCAUCAACAUAAUUGGUAGUCAUAUUUUAAAUAAUAAAAUAACGUUUUUCGUCCUGUGCAUCAUCAAACUCAUGACUUGACAACCAAUUCAUUAUCACCAAAUAAAAUGAUCAAUUAAUUUUAACCGCAGAGUACGUUGUUUCAUGAAAGCAGUUAGACCAACAUUAGCCCCGUUCAAAGGGGGGAAAAAAACAAAAACAGAUAAAAUCUUUAUUAGAAAAUAAUAGAAACGUAAAACAUAAUUACUCAUGAGUAAUGUUAUUUGCACGUACACAAAAAUACACGAAAACACUAAAAGACUAGAAAUAUUUUAUUAAAAGAUAAAUUUAUUCACUUUAUUAAUAAACAGCUGAAUUAUGAAAAUGACAAAGAGAAUGGUAAAGAUGAGAGGUGCAUUCCCAUUAAUUAAUUAUCCAUGCUUUAUAGGUUAUAACAUUUUUUGUCGAUCCUUGACCCAAUUUAGAAGUCACAGUUGCGAAGUCAAUGAAAGAGAAGACAAUCGAACAGUCACUAAGUAAUAACGGGGUUACACUAAACCGAUUAUUAUGAUUAUUAUCAUUUUUUAUGUAAAAUAAUUUUUAACGUGUCUCAUGGAUAGUACUUUCUUUGCAUUCUUUCUUGAAGAAAGGAACGCCCUUUAAUUAGCCCCGUUCACAAGUCAAAAGUCAAUAAACGAAGAGAUCCCGCGACAGAGUACGUUGUUUCUUGAUAGUAUUUAGACAAACUGUAGGUCUAUGUUCGUAGAAACGGACAGUUAAUACUCUAGAAAAUCAAGGAUUAGUGGUGUUUGGGAGUCGGGAAAAUGGAAGAAAAAGUGAAUGGAAAAAAGAAAAAAAAAGAAAAUCUUUAUGAAGAGAAACAAAAACGUGAAUUAUUGUUGGAAGCACAAAUGAGUUAUUUAUAGAAGCAGCAAUGCUACCAGUAUUUAGUUUCGAACAUAAAAUUAUAUGUAUUAAAGUUUUUUAAUCUUUUAAAUCCUACAAAAUAAAUGGAAGACCAGAUUUAUGGAUAAAGCGCAGCUCCACUCAAGCAGCAACUGAUGCCGCCCCACGGAUAAUUAGCCCCACUCACUCACAAUUAAUCAUUAGUCAAAUUUAUGAAAAUUAAACAAAAUGAGAACCAAGAUAAGUCGUCAACCAUUUUUAUGGAUAAGUUACACUAAAUAGAUUCCCACUAAAAAUGACGAAUAUAAACAUUUUUUUUUCUAUUGGAUAUUUCAUCCACUCAUAAUAUAAUGACAUAUAUCAAUUUAUCUUAAUAUUAAAAUAAUUAACCAUUCUAUCUACAUUACUUGAAGCUCAAAUUUUUAUAAAUUAUACAAAUUAAACGAUUGAUCGAGUCAUAUCACAGUCAUCACUUAAAUGAAUUUUAAUAAAUUUUAACGGAUUGGCUGCCGAGCUGAAUAAGAAUAUUCUUUGCGUGUUAAACAAACUAGGGAAUGAUUUAAACAGUGCUCAAUGGGACAUAUUGUUUUCCAUAUUAAGCAUUCAUUGAAAAUGGGAAAAGAAAAAUACUGACUGAAUGAAUUUAACAGUGGCUCAUUAAUAUGAUAAUUGUGUUGUUUUAUAUAUUAUUUAUUUUUUUAAGUGACACCAAACCGAUUCAAUUGUUUGAAUUUUUAAUCGGUAAUUUUGCUUUACAAUCCAUUGGUUUCAUUUGGAUCCAAUGUCCCAUGCAUGGCCAUAACGCUCAUACAGUUUGCAAUAAAAGCCAUCCUCUUCUCUAUUUGGCAGGGGUUUGUUUGGAAAUACGAAGAUUUGGGGACACGUGGGAUGGGGAACAUCUUUUAAGUUUGUUAGAGGAACCUAAGGUGCGAAGAGAAAUAGACCAAUGAGAAAAAUUCCCAUUAAAUGAGUUCAUUCUUUUUUAUACCGAUUGUUGCUGCAGUGUUUGAAGAAACAAAUAAUUUUGACGAAUUGAGAACAAUAUGAUGUGUCAGAAAGCAUUAUACCGGUUGUUGCUGCAGUGUUUGAAGAAAAAAUUAAUUUAGACGAAUUGAGAACAAUAUGAUGUGUCAGGAAGCAGAAAGUCUCAAAGAUAUAUAAAAGAAUUGUAAAACAAGCGACGGAACAGCUAAGAUUUUUUAAAUACGUUAAUUAUGUCAUAUGGAAUAUUGACGGGUUAGAUUUCGUUAAACUAAUUUUAUUACAUAUAAUUCAACUAAAUAAGAAUAAUCUCACUAUAGUUGUCUUAUUAUAGAUGUAAUAAAAAUUUAUUGAUGUUCUAAAGUAACUCAUUUUCAUCAUAAUUUUUGCAUAAUGUAUCAAAAAAAGAAUUUUAGCGCGAAAGGCCAAAAAAGGUUGAGAGAACAAAAAAAAUUAAGCAAAGAUUUAUGAAAAAAAGAGAAGCCAUUCAAUUCAAGAACUUGUCACGUUAAGCCCAUCGGCCCAAUAUCUUAUUUGCUCACAAGCCAAUAAACGAAGAGACCACAUGACAGAGAGUUUUGUUUCUUGAAAGUAAUUAGACAAACAAACAGCAGUUCUAUGUUUGUAGAAAUUGACAGCUAAUACUUAAAAAAUCAAGGAUUGGCGGUGUUUGGGGAUUGGCAAAAUGGAAGAGAAAGUGAAAGAAAAAAGAACAAAGAAAAUCUUUUUUAGAAGUUUGUAAUAGACCUCGAAUUUAUACGUUUGAUUUAACUCACUUUGACUUGUUUGUAAGUUCUAAUUGUGAUAUAAGAAUUUUUAAUUACGUAUCGUAAAGAACUAAGAAUGAUCGUAUAAUAAUUCGAACCCACCAAGAACUGUUGCACAACGUUAUAAGCCCUACUACUAAAACCAAAGAAUACCAGCUCGUAAUUACAACGAUCAAGAAUCAUAUUUUGUUAAGCCAACAUUAUUACAUAUAUAAUUCAACUAAAUAAGAGUGAUCUAAGUGUAAUUGUCGUGAUCUUGGAUGUAAAUUUAGAUUAACAAAUAUAAUUUUUUUUAAAAAUUAUACUUAUAUUUUGUAAAACUUCUAAUUAUACUAACCAAUAUAAUAUUUUUUAAAUAGAAAAAUUUAGGCAAAUAUCUAUCGACAAGAGGAGGAGGCAAUUAAAUGAUGAUCUUACCCCGUUGGGCAUACUAUAUGAUGAACCCCAUUUCAUCAUUUGCCCCUUUCAGCUUCCAACGUCACUAAUUUUGAUUCAAAGCAUGAGCAAGUAGUGGCCUGGCCCAUGAUCAUAUGGGCUUUGAGCUGCUUUAUUUUUAUAAUUUAUUGGACCCUUAUCCGAUCUCGAUAUUGAAUUUUCUAUAGCCUCAUCAAGCUCAAUAAUAAUAAUCUUACCAUAUAUAUGUUCAGCUGAAAAUUAAAGUACCAUCUAUUUCAGCUGCAGGCUUAAAAGCUUCUUUUGUUUGUCGUAUUUGAUUGAAAUUGAAUCAUAGAAUCUAAGGCGUAAAGAAAAAUCAACCAACGAGAAUCUGCCAUGGAAGCAUCUAGAAAAAUAUUAAAGCCCACAGCGAAAGCGUCUUACUCUGUUUUCUUUCUUUUAUUUUUUCCAGGAUCCCAUAAACAGAAUGCAAUUUUGCUUGCACAUAAAUGUCAUACGGCUCUUUUACGAAUUUCGGUUUAAUUGCAUUCAUUUUAUUUUUUAUUUUUUAUUUUUUAUUUUUUUGCUGGUUGUUUCUCCAUUAGACCAAUUGAGAAUCAAAUGUUAUAAAAAAAAAUAGAAGAACUUUAUGUAAAUUAGAAAAUAAUUGGCAUGCAAUUUUGGAUUUUGGGUGGGCUAUUUGAAUCCAUUAAUUUUAUUUCAACACCCACUUUUUUAAUUAAGAUAGUUAUCAAAUUAUAACUUACUAUUUUAAUUCACUCAUUUCUAAAAGGUCAUAAAAUUACUUCUCUACUAUAACAAUAGUUAAAGCCUAAACUAAUUUCUCUCUCUUUCUAUUCUUCUUUUUUUAUUCUUACAUGCUAAAUCAACUUUAUUUUUUUCUUACUUUUUAUUAUAAGAUUAUUAGUUUUUACCUAUUAUUAUUGUUCAAAGUUUGUGCUUCUGAGAUUUGACCAAAAAAAUUUAAAAUAGAUUCAAAGUGGUACAAAAAUUUUUAUUUUUUUAUUUUUACAUGAUGGGUAUUAUUUUAUUUACUUUGUUUUAGAUUAUAAUAAAGCUGAAUUUGUUAAUUUUUGAACAAUUUCAUUUUAUUCAAUGCAAUAUAUACUUCCAUGUAUUACAAUAAAUUUUUCAUAAAGAAGGAGAUGAAGGUAGAGAGAGCAACAUCAAAUAAGUAAUUAAUCAAAAGAGUAUAUUUUAAUCAUUAUGGCUUCCAUUGAAGUAAAAUUAUGAUUCUACCAUUGAGUAAGAACACUUAAGACAUUUUCUAAUAAAGGAGGUCAUGAGGCUAAAAACCUAGGCGAGACAAUCCCACAACAUCACCAUACUGACUUGGUGAGAUUUUCAAAUUUGAAUUUGGCAAACAAGAGACGACAAUGGUGGGAUUGGCACUUGGAACUUAAUUUUAAUUGGACAGUCCCAUCCCUCUCUCUGACUUGCCAAUGUUAAAUAGAUAGCAACUCAAUUGAAGUUUAAAAUGAAAGGAGAUUGAACAUAUUAUCAAAGAGAUACAACUUGAUCGAUCAAAGUUGUAUAAAAUGAAAGGAGUGUAUUUGUAUAGCAUUUAUACACUGUGCAACUCGACAAACAUGUUAUCAAAUAAUAACAUUAACAAAGCAAAAUGUAUGGAAGGUACAAAAUAUAUACUUUUUGUACUGCUGAAAACUAUUUUUGGGCACUCUGCUGAAAACCAGUAGCAGAGACAUCAAGCGAAGAUCUUUGAAACAGCCCAAAUCAUAAAAUGUAUUGUUGGUUUUCUUCUCAAAAUAAAUAUUUCACAAAAAACUUGCAAAAAGUAAGUAGUAAUUUCCCCAAAUGGAGGUGGAGGAGAAAAUGGCAGGGAUCUGGGGCAAGGCUUUGUGGUAACUGGACCAAUUAUUCAAAUAAUAGUUGGGGAAAUGAUCAUACAGUAAUUGCAAUCAUUAUAGGCUUUGUGGUAACCGGACCACACAGAUUUUAGUUGUUAUCAAAACUGCAAUUGGCCCCAAAAAAAAAUCAGAACAAAUUACCGAUAGAAACGUACAAUACAUGUAGGUUUUAAGCACAAAUGAAUAAAUCAGAACACUCUACACUAAUUACGAAUACUAGUUCACAAUAUUUGGUGCUACCUCCGCAAUCUGUUAUAGCGCACUGCCCCACUUGCCAGCAUGGCAUACCGUUACACAGCAGCAGUCUUGCGUCUGUAACGACCUUCUAACAGUCUUGAAUCCAAAUACUUUGCUACACAUGAGUGCAGCCAAUGAACUGUGCUCCUUCGUUAGCCAGAAUAUGAUCCUUGUGAUGAACUUGAUACUCCAAUAUAUGCAACUUUUAUAAAGGAGAGGGACAAGAUGAAAUCAAGUGAAGUGAAGUGAAGUGAAUAUGAUCCUUCAUGCAGAAACCCUUCAUGCUCUGUUCAGAACAGAGUUUAAAAUAAUUAAUAAUUGUUGGGAAUUUUCGGUUCCCGCCCCAGAUUUUUGCUAGCAAUAUGUAAAACAAAUAAUAAAUAAAAAACUAAAAUGGUGAAUAUCCCAAUCAUAACACACAAAAUUUACUUGGAAGACUAUUUUAUUAGAGUAAAAAACCACCACUGCAAAAAACAACGAGACAAAAAAAUUUCACCGUAUAAAAAAUUAUUACAACCACUCUCUGAUUAUUUUAUCUCACACCCAAACCCCAAUUACGCCCAAAUCUUCCCACACUCUCUUUUCACUGCCUCUCCCGUUAUUCACUUUCCUCUCUCUCUCUACAAUUCAGUGAGUUCUCAAUUUAUAGACAUUGGGGCUUUCUCAUUGUCAAAGAAAACGGUCCUGGAUGAACAAAUCUUGCAGCCACCAAAUCAGGUUGAUAUCUUCGACCAGCUUGCUGACAUCUUACCAGGCCUUUGACGUAGCAUUUAUUGUGCAUCCAUGAAAGUCCAGAAAAUCUUUGCCUGCAUUAACACUGAUCCAUUCAUUCAAAUGCAAGAGAAGUCAAAGAGAUUAUGCCAGCAUUUAAUGCCCAUGCAAGUUUCAAAUGAAACUAACUAAAUUUUCAGCAAAACGCAUGUAAAUUGUUAGUUCCUUUUUCAACUUUUUUACUGCAAAUAAAUAUUAAACUAUUUCAAGUCACUUCAUCCAUUAGUAACAGGAAAGAACUUGUAUUACUGAAUUUAGAGACACAUCACAACUAUGCAUUAUCAAAAUGAUGUUUUGAAAGCCUAAUUUAAGAAAUAGUACAUUAUCAUUUUGAACAUUAUAAAUGGAUAUAUAAUAAAUUAAGUGUAAGAUCAACGUACUUUUAGUAAACGACACUGUGUGGAUCAGUAAUCCUCCUUUUCUUUCUAAUUUUCUUUGCCAGUAUGAAUCAUUUUACUUUGCUUCACUAGAAAGUACUGUAAAUGGCUUCCUUUGGCCGAUAAGUAUUUAGGUUAUUUGACUUGUAAUUAAGGUCCAUUUGUCAAUCUACCUUCCCACACUCUCUUUUCACUGGCUCUCCCGUUAUUCACUUUCCUCUCUCUCUCUACAAUUCAGUGAGUUCUCAAUUUAUAGACAUUGGGGCUUUCUCAUUGUCAAAGAAAACGGUCCUGGAUGAACAAAUCUUGCAGCCACCAAAUCAGGUUGAUAUCUUCGACCAGCUUGCUGACAUCUUACCAGGCCUUUGACGUAGCAUUUAUUGUGCAUCCAUGAAAGUCCAGAAAAUCUUUGCCUGCAUUAACACUGAUCCAUUCAUUCAAAUGCAAGAGAAGUCAAAGAGAUUAUGCCAGCAUUUAAUGCCCAUGCAAGUUUCAAAUGAAACUAACUAAAUUUUCAGCAAAACGCAUGUAAAUUGUUAGUUCCUUUUUCAACUUUUUUACUGCAAAUAAAUAUUAAACUAUUUCAAGUCACUUCAUCCAUUAGUAACAGGAAAGAACUUGUAUUACUGAAUUUAGAGACACAUCACAACUAUGCAUUAUCAAAAUGAUGUUUUGAAAGCCUAAUUUAAGAAAUAGUACAUUAUCAUUUUGAACAUUAUAAAUGGAUAUAUAAUAAAUUAAGUGUAAGAUCAACGUACCUUUAGUAAACGACACUGUGUGGAUCAGUAAUCCUCCUUUUCUUUUCCAAUUUUCUUUGCCAGUAUGAAUCAUUUUACUUUGCUUCACUAGAAAUUACUAUAAAUGGCUUCCUUUGGCCGAUAAGUAUUUAGGUUAUUUGACUUGUAAUUAAGGUCCAUUUGUCAAUCUACCAACUACGAUAAUCAUAAAAUGCAGCAUACGCAUAAGUGGAUGGACAUAAAAAACCCAUAUGCAUUAAAACUUUAGAAUCCUUCUAAAUCCUACAAUGUAUUCAUAAUUUUCAAGACAUUUAAGUGACAGAAAAAUAAUUACAUCACACGGACUUAGUUAUAGUAAAUGGAAGACCACAGUUUUUUAACAAACUCUUCACUCAUAAUUGAAUUGUGGGUCGUCGAAUUUAUGAAAAUUAAACAAAAAUGAUAAACAAGACAAGUACCCCUCGAGCACCCUUCCCUUGAACCUGAACUGGUCGAGAGAGGUGAUCAUCAUCAUACUCAGCUGGACACCACCUUGGCCAUCAGAUUCAUCGUAAGAAUGAAUGUGGACCCUACGGUUCAUUCAACGCUCGAAUUCUUUAUCCUCCUUCUCCUUAUCAUCGCUUGCUUCCAUUCUGCGCAUCACGAGAGAGUGUUUCACUUCAUCUGGAUCGCUCUCGUACUCCUCCACCACGUCCUCGUCAUCGCUGGCUUCCCUUCUGUGCGUCACAAGACAGCGUUUCACUUCAUCUGGAUUGCUAUCAUACUCCUCCACCGCCUCCGCUUUUUCCGGAGCUGCGGGCGCGGGCGCCGUUGUAGUGUCACUAGCCAUCAAUUAAUUAUUAACCGCCCAAUUGUUCUAUCAAUUUUAAUUUAAAUUGUAUAAAAAAUUUCGAAAUUGCGCUUAACCCUUCAAACUGAAUUCCAAAUUAUUAUCAGAACUGAACUAACAAUUGAAGGAUACGAGAUAAGCAAAAUCCACUAAAAUAAUACAAAAUUUUGAAGCGAAUCCCCGACAAUCGAAACCCUAGAGAGGUUAAAUUGAGAUUUUUCAGGAUUGUGAUGGAGGUUUAGCUAUUCUUGAGAAAACCUCAUAUUUUUAGAGAACGAGGGGAUUUUUUUAUAGGGUUAUUUUUAAGGACCUCCUCUGAAGUUUGGUGUAUUAACAUUCUGAUAGAAAGUAUUCACGUAAUUACAAAGACCUCCCCUGACAUUUGUAUUCUGUUAAGUGGACUGUUAGUUGACUAUUGAAAAUCCAAAAAUACCCUUCCUGUCAAAAUAUUUCUUUAUUCGCUGAUGAACUGAUGGGUAAUUCGUGCCAAAAUCACAAAUUACUUAAGAAGAUGAAAAUAUCCAUUGGAUAAAAAAAUGAAAUUGCUUAAUAAAAAAAUUGACAUUGCAAAAUAAUAAAAAAAUUGACAUUGCAAAAUAAUAAAAAAAUUGAAAUAAUGUGUGGCGGCAUAGCUGCAUCCUGCAUGCAUAUUAUUAUUGUGAUUUUUUUUUUAUUACAAACUACUUCAUAACUAAUACAUGCCACAAGAGCAGAGCUAUUAAAAGAAAUGAUUUUCAUAUUGUAAACUUGAUAGUACAGGCGUUGGCACCGACAAUAAAACCCUUCUGAUACCAAUCUUUGCUCCAUCCAUAUUUAAACCCAGAUCAAGUAAAUAUUAAAUUGGAUUUCAGGUCCUGAAAAUCCCACUCUAUAAUUGAUAUCUUCGAGUUUUGUUGGUGCCUCAAACCUGGAUCUAGAGCAUCAUCUCUGUCAUACUCGGAACACCUAAACUAAUGGACUUGCUACAGCUGCUUAUUCUUCUUCUGAAAUGAUGCACGCAGAUAGAUUACAGACUUUGAAAUAAGAAAUACAAUAAACAACAUGUAAUCGAACUUAAGAUUUCGGCACACUUGUUUGAAAAUUAGAAUCAAACAAGGAAAAUGGCAAGUCAAUAUUUUUUAAUCUAGAAAAAGGGCAAUUUCAAAGUUUAUCACAUGCCAAAUUCAUAGUCUUGCAUCCACUAUUUUCUAGUUUGAAUAACAAACAAAAGCCUUAGACAAAAACACAGAGAACAUCUCACGUGGGAGCAAAAAUUGUGUGUAGAACAAUAUACUUAAGUUACCUCUGAUUACAAUCACAUUAUUUAGCAAAUACAAAAUUACCUUCUAAAAAAAAAAAAAAAAACAACACCGCCAAAUUAUUGAAGGAAUUACAACAAUAAGGCAAAAGAACACCAAAGGCAUGCACAAACCGAAACUAGCACACAACUCAAUUAGUGUCAUGACCCCAAACUGAACAAUCACAUAAACCACUGUGGGUUCUCUAAAAGAUUAUCAGAUUAUAAGCAAAUCGAAACCCAUCUUUGAUGAACUACAUCUAGUACUUACACAGCUCUUAAAUCAUUAGGAAAUUGCUCUUAUCAGUCAUUACCCAAUAGUUUUUUUCAACUCAACACUAACAACCCUAGAGAGAAACACUGCUGUACCGUACAUGCUGUGUUUUCGAAGACUGACCUCUUCUUGCGAUCUAAUUCCAGUCACGGUAGAUGCUAGAUGCUGGCAAUACUCGCUUCUUGGAAGCUCUGGACCACCGCACGACGUCAUCUUGUGCAGUAGAUGAAAAUAAAUCAAUGAUUUCAGAAAUUAUUUGUGAGUUGCAGACGCUUCUUCUCCAUGGAUGAAAAUGAUGGUGGGUUUUGUUCAAGUGUAAGCUGUGUUUACGAGGAGAAGUACCCUUUGUGAAAAAAUCAUUUUCUUUCAUCUACUGGAUAAUGACUUUGGACUGGGUAAUGGUGUGUUUAAGUCUCUAUUUCACAGACAUCGAAACAUAUUUUGCUUGAAUUUUGAUUUUGUUUAAAUUUCAAGUUUACUUUUACUUGUUUACCUUUUUAUACUGACGUUUACGUAUUUUUAUACUAAUGUUAAGGGAAAUACUUAUAAUUACAUAAAUACUUUUUAUCAGACUGUUAAUACACUAAACUUCAGGGAAAGUUCCUAAAAAUAACCCUUUUUUUUAUAAUUUCCCCUUCUAAAUAAAGACUAUGAGGAUAUGUCGUCAUCAGUUGAAUUGAGGAGACCAUUUAUUUGAGCCGAGUGACGGUAAUUACCUUGAUUUGGUAGGGGUUUCUUUGGAAAUAUGAUAAAAGUUUGGGUAUUGGUUAGAGAGUGACACGUGGAAUGAGAACAUUGUUUAAGUUCAAAAUUCUGACGUAAGAUAUGAUUCGGUAACCAUGAGGUACAUUUUGCUUGGCCACAGCCAGUCAGCUACAAGCUUAUCGACGCUUAUUAUAUUUGUUGAAUUGUUGUGUUUGCUUCAAAUUGAUUUUUGAAGUUGAAUCUAAGCCGUGAAGAAAAAUGGACCAAUGAGACUAUGCCACGGAAGCAUCUAGAAAAAUAUUAAAGAGGACAGAGUCAGUCUAUCAUAUUGGUCUUUUUAUCAUUUUUUGACAGACCCACAAACCGUGCGCAAUUUGGCUUCCAUUACAUAUCCAGUUUCUAUUAUACAACUACAUUAUAAGCGUGAUUUAUAGAAUAAAAAGUGUAUAAAAUAGAUCCAUAGGAGUAGAUUUUAUUAAACAUUCAUUUAUAUUUAUAUUUACAUUUAAACAAUUAAUUUUAAUUUAAAUAAUAAUUUAACAAAUUAAUAAACCUAAAAUAUUUAAUGAGAAAAUGAUAAUACAUUAUCAUACUUCUAUUACAUAAAUUAUUUUAAUUAUUUUAGUUUAAAUACAUAAAAGUAUUUUAAUUUUAUUUAAUUAAUAAAAAUAAAUUUAUAAUUUAAUAUUAUAGUAUAAAUUAAUUUAUAUUACAUUAAAUAAUUGUACAAUAUUAUAUUUUUACAAUAUAAUAUUAACUUAUAUUAUAUUAUUAUAUGAUUAUACUAUAUUAUAAUAAUUAAUAUCUAGAAAUAAAUUAUAUUAUAAUAUAAUAAUUUUUAAUAAUAUAACAUAGUACUUUAAUAUUUUAUUAUUUAAUAAUAGAGUAUAACAUAGUACUUUAAUAUUUUAUCAUUUAAUAAUAGUAUAUUAUUAACUCAUUUAUAUACUAUAAAAUAAUUUUUAAUACUUAAUUUAAAAAAUUAAUAAAAAUCCUAAAAUAUUAAUAAAUUUAAAUAAUAUUAAUUUAGUUUUAACAUUAAUAUAAAACAUUACCUUAUAUAAUACAAUUUAUACUAUAUCAAAGUAUAACAUUAUAACUUAAUAUAAUGUAUGUUAAUGCAAUACACCAUAGCACAGUACGUUAAACGUAUCCCAAAUGAAUUCAUUUUGUACUAGUUGAUCCUAUAGUGUUUGAUAAAAGUGCCCCAUUAAUAUGAUAAUUGUGUGGUUUUAUAUAUUUAUUUGUUUUUUGAGUGACACUAAACUGAUUCAUUAACCGAUUCAAUUGGUUGGAUCUAAUUUAGUUUAUUUGGUUAAUUUUGCUUUGCAUUCCGGUGGUUUGAUCCAAUUCCAAUGUGCCAUGGCCGUAACGUUCGCUUGACUUACGUGGCUUUGUAGGAAUCAUCAUCUUUACGUGGCUUUGUAGGAAUCAUCACGUUCACGUGACUCACCUGGCUUUGCGGGAAUCGUUGUCUUCUCUAUUUAUACGAGAAGAGUGAAGGUAAUUAUCUGGAUCUGGUAGGGGUUUUAUGGAAAUAUGAAGAAAGUUGGGGACACGUGGGAUGUAGCUUUGUUUAAGUUUAAAUUCCGACGUAAGAGAUGAUUAUUCGGUGAGCCGGAAGUAGGUUUGUUGGGCUACAGCCACAGACUUAUUAAGGUUUAUACUGUUUGUUCGGCGUUGGUUUGAAAUUGAAUCUUGAAUCAAAGGCGUGAGAGUUAUAGACCAACGAGAUUCUGCCAUUGAAGCAUCUAGAAAAAUUUCCAUUAAAUGAGUGCAUUUCAUUUUUAUACUGGUUGUUGCUCUAAUAUUUAAAAAAUAAUAAUUUACACGAAUUGCAAAUAAUAUGUUAGGAAACUAGAAGUUUCAAAGAUAUAUAAAAAGAAAUUGAAAAAAUAAUAACUAAUCAAUUAGUGACCAAUUAGGAUGUUUUAAGUACAUUCAUCAUGUGGUCAGGAACAUUAAUAAGCUAAAUUUUGUCUAGCAUUUAAUUAAUCGUUUUAAAUUUAAUUUGUCAGAAGUUUGUAGUAGACCUCAAAUUUAUAGGUUUUGACUUAACUCACUUUGGCAUGUUUGCAAAUUCUAAUUGUGAUGUAGGGCUUUUUAAUUACAAACUAUUAAAAAUUGAGAAUGAUCGUAUAUUAAUUUGAACCCACCAAGACGACCUGUUGCAUGGUGUUAUAACUAAACUAAAUAACACGAGCCUUUAAUUACGAGGGUUAAGAAUCAUAUUUUGUUAAAACCAAUUUUAUUACCUAUAAUUCAACUAAAUAAGAGUGAUCUAAGUGUAAUUGUCCUUAUCUUGAAUGUAACAAAAAUUUAUUGAUGUUCUAAACUAAUUAAUUUUCAUCAUAAUUUUUGCAUAAAGUAUCAAAAAAAAAAAUUAGCACAAAAAGGGGAAAAAAGUUGAGGAAACAUAACAAUUAAGUAAAGAUUUGUGGAGAAAAGAAGAGGCAAUCAAUUCAAGAUCUGUGAUGUUGGGCCGAUUGGCUCAACAUCUUAUUUGCCCUUCAUUGAGCCUUGAUCACAAGUAAUAAGUCAAUAAACGAAGAGGCCGCAGGGUGGAGUAUAUUGUUUCUUAAAGGUAAUUAGACAAACAAACAAACACCAGUUCUAUGUUUGUAGAACCAGACAGCUAAUACUCUAGAAAAUCAACGAUUGAGGGUGUUUGAGGGUCGGGAAAAUAGAAGAGAAAGUGAAAGAAAAAAGAACAGAGAAAAACUUUAUUAGAAGUAAUAGAAAAGUACAGUACACGUUACAGGUUCAAAGCUCAAAUGAGCUAUUUAUAGAAUAAAAUAAAUUAGAGCACUCUAGACUAAUUACUAAUAUUAGUUUAAAAUAAUUAGUGCCAGCUUGGCAAUCUGCUAUAGCAAACUUGCCAGCAUGGCAUACUGUUACUCAGCAACAGCCUUACCUCUGUAACAACCUUCUAAUAAUUGAGUGCAGCCAAUGACUUUAACUGCCCUAUCGUUUGCUUCCAUUCUGCGCAUCAGAUUCAUCAGAUUCAUCGCCAACUAUUCGACGCUCAAAUUCUUUCUCCACCUCCUCCUCAUCAUCGCUUGCUUCCAUUCUGCGCAUCACGAGAGAGUGUUUCACUUCAUCUGGAUCGCUAUCAUACUCCUCCACCGCCUCCGCUUCUUCCGGAGCUUCGGCCGCCGUUGUAGUAUCACUAGCCAUCAAUUAAUUAAUAACCGCCCAAUUUUAUCACUAGCCUUCUCAAAAUAAAUAAAUAAAUAUUUAAAUUUUAUCAAAAAUUCGAAAUUGCAAUUAAUCCGUCACACUGAAACCGUAACUAGAGGAAAUUGCACUCAAACUAAACCAGAUAAUCGAAAUUCCCUAAAUCACAAAUUAUUUUCAGAACCAAACAACAAUUGAAGGAUACGAGACAAGCAAACUCCACUAAAAAAUACUAAUUUUUGAAGCGAAUCUUCGACAAUAAAAAAACAGUCUAAGUUCAAAUUGUUUAAGUUCAAAUUCUGAGAUAAGAGAUGAUUCAGUCACCAUGACUCCAUGAGGCACGUUUGUUUGGCCACGGCCAGUCGACCACAGCUUGCUUCAAAUUGAAAAUCUUGAAGUUGAAUCUAAGCUGUGAAACAAAAUGGACCAAUGAGAUUAUGCCAUGGAAGCAUUUAGAAAAAUAUUAAAGAGGACAGAAUCAGUGUUUUAUAUUGGUUUUUAUUAUUAUUUUUUGAGAGACCCACAAACCAAAUGCAAAUUUUGGUUCCAUUAAAAUAUCAAUUUCUCAAGUGGCAUUAUACUUGUAUUAAAAUAUUAUUUUUAUACAGCAGAAAAUUUGGUUCCAUUAAAAUAUUAAUUUCUCAAGUGGCAUUAUACUUGUAUUAACUUGUAUUAAAAUAUUAUUUUUAUAUAAUUAUAAUUUAUAGUUGCAUUACACUGUAUAACAAAUGUGGUAUACAUGUGGGAUUUAGGUUUUAUUACAUUAAAAUACUAUUUAUAUUUUAAAUAUAAUUAUUUAAAGUUAACGGAUUGGUGGACGGCAUAAGUGUUUUGUCAACUUAGGGUAUACGAGUGAUACACUUGAAAAAUGUUGUAGCACAUUUGAUACGAGUGUCAUUUAAGGGUAUAUGGUUGAUAAUUUCCCUUAUAUUAAUUCAUAAUAUAACAUAUAAAUUUUAAGUUUAUUUAUGAAACUUGAUAUCAUAUUUCUUUUCAACAUAAUGUAAUAAUUAUAAUAACUAAUAUAUAAAAAUAAAUUAUAUUAUAACAGAAUAAUUGUUAAUAAUAUAACAUAAUAUUGUAAUAUUUUAUUAUUUAAUAGUAGAAUAUUAUUAAAUAAUUUGUAUAUUAUAAAAAUAAUUAUUUAAUACUUAAUUUCAGAUAUUACUAUUAAAACCCUAAAAUAUUAAUAAAUUUAAAUAAGGUUGAUUUAGUUUUAACAUUAAUAUAAAAUAGUAUUGCAUUACAUCUCAUUACAAUGCACUCUAAUGUAAUAUAUCAUCAUACAAUACAACUACACAGUAUGGCAAAUGCAUCUCUAGAAACUAAUUUUGAUAAAAUUGAAGACUUAGUAUAAGUUACAAAUAAAUUUCCAAUAUCAAGAUCAAAGUCAUUGCAAUAUUAAAAAAUAAAAAUCCCAUUUUAGGCCAUUUGUGAUUGCAAGCAUUUGUUUCAUUUACAGUUUUCAAUUAUUUUGAAACAGAACAUUCGAAUAAAUUAAUAUUGAGUAGAGUUUUCAAUGUCAUUUAGAUAGUUUAAAAAAAUGAAAAAGUGAUUAAGAUUGAAUGACUUUAAUUAUUAAGAUCAUAAUUAUGAUUAAAAGGAAAUUAAGGGUUUAUUAUUUAAUUUGAAAUUUGUACUUAUUAAAUAUUAUUUGUAAGAUCAAUACAUUUCCCGUAAUUUGUAAGUUGUCUUAAAUAAUAUCGUGUCUCAUAUAGUAUAAUCUUUUCGUUCCCACUUUAAACAUUAUUGGCAAUUUUUCAAACUAAUUACUUAUGUUGAAACAAUUUUAUGAUGCUUUAAAGUUCACUAGUUCAUAAUUUGCAUGGGAGAAAUUAUAUUGGAGCAUUUAUAUUCAAGUUUUUCUCACUUCAUUCUACUUUCUCUACAAAUAUCACUAGUAUUUAUACAAAAAUGUUUCACUAAAAAGAAUUUUUAUCACAUGUCAACAAUAUUACUUAGAAUAUCAUUUUCCCCCUCAAUUAAUAUAUAAAUGUGUGAGUUUGUGCGUGCCGGUCUUGGUGUCUCGAGUAUGUAUUUCUUUUUUUUAAAAAAAAUAUUUUUAUCACUUUUCAAUGUUAUUAUCUAAAAUAUUUUUUACGAAUCCCGCUUAUUUUCUACACUUCACAGGUUUAAUAUGGAACCAUCUAGUAUUGACAUACAUGGAUUUAUUUUAUAUUUUACAUUUAUAUUUUAAAUUUAAAAAAUAAUUUUAAAAAAUUAAAUGAGUUUAGAGUUAUAGAGAUAUAAAUUUUAUAAUUAGAAUUUAUCUGUAUUUUAUAAAAAAAUUUAAAAAAAUAUUUUUUAGAUUGAUAUUUUCUGGAAAGAUGAUUAAUUUUAAUAAAUAGAUUUAUAUGCUACAAAUAAAACUGAGUGUAUUUCAGAAAAUAAAAUUAAAAAGGGUGUUAUAAAGAUUUUCCUUUGUUGUCGAACGCAAACUGGUUAAUUCGGUUUUCACACAGAUGUUGAGACAACACGUGGCAACCUUAGACACGUUUCUUCUUACUACGGUGUUACGCAGCAUUGCAAGACUCCUGACAAAAAUACAAUAUUUAGGCCAAUUAAUAAAAAAAAAAAAAAGAACAAUAUGAAGCAAGACGUUUCAACGAUUUAUUGGGAAUGAGAUUAUUAAAGGGUUGUACUUUUAAAUUAUUUUUCUUUUAUUUAAUGUAAUCGCCACCCAAUCUUCUCCACUCGCAUGAAAAGUAUUUAAUUUCUUAAUUUAUUUUUUCACUUUAUAAUUCUGUAAAAAGAAGUCAAGCACUGUAUGAAGAAGUCAGGCACUCUAAUUCUGUAAGAUUCUAUUUAGUUAUUUUAGAAAAUAAGAUGUUAUUUUGAAUCCCAAAAUAUUCUGUUAACUGAGUGCAGCCAGUGAACAAUUGUUUCAAAAGAGGGAUAAGGUGAAUCAAAUAAAGUGAGAGCCUAAAAAACAUAACUAGAUAAGUGAAUGUACCCUUUCAAGCUCUGUUCAGAACAGAGUUAAAACAGUUGGUAACAGAUAGAUCUUAAUUUAUAGAGACACAUCACAACCAUGGGUUUUUGAAAAUNNNNNNNNNNNNNNNNNNNNNNNNNNNNNNNNNNNNNNNNNNNNNNNNNNNNNNNNNNNNNNNNNNNNNNNNNNNNNNNNNNNNNNNNNNNNNNNNNNNNNNNNNNNNNNNNNNNNNUAAUUGUCUUUCAUGCAUCAAAUGACAUUAAUGCUUGUUGACACUGUUUGUUUUCUGAUCUUUAACUCGAAUUGGUCUUUUUCCCAAAUUAUGGCUCACAUGGAAACACUUAUCGCUUAGAUUCGGCUAAUACGGAAACUCUUUGAGCUUCCAAUUACCUUGCUGCAAUAAUUCUCUUCUAAAGAAGGUACUAGCAGCUACCCCAUUAAUUAAAUUAUGCGUGCUUUAUGCGUUAUAUUGAGUAUAACAUUGCUGUCAAUACUUUAAAUGAGGACUAUUUUCACUUCAUUGUUAUAGAGAUGAUGACGAAAAUAAUAUGUUCACCCAGAAAACGAAUGAGAAAGAAGAAAAUAUGUAUAUAAAAGUAUAAUGUACAUGCAAUCCUAGAGAAUUUUGUAACCAAUAAAAUUGAAGAUCUUUAUUACAAGUAAAUAGAAACGUAAAAUACAAUCAUUUGGUAAUAUUGGUAGAAAUUAAUUUGUAUCGGUGAAUUUGUGAAGACACACCAGAAACAUGGCAUAAAGUUAGGAUAUUGGUGCCACCUAAGCAACCUAUUGUAUUUAUAGGUAGACUUUAGAUUGAUUACUAAUAAUUAGCUUCGUCAUCGGUGAAAAAAAUAGACAGGUAAUACUCUAGAAAUCUGUACAAUACACUUGCCGGCAUGGCAUACUUAUUUUCAUCAUAAUUUUUGCGUAAUGCUAAUGUAUCAGAAAAGAAUUUUAGAGCAAAGGGCCGAAAAAGGUUGAGGGAACAAAAAUAUUAAGCAAAGAUCUAUGGAUAAAAGAGGAGCCAUUCAAUUCAAGAACUUGUUUGUAGAAACAGACAGCUAAUACUCAAAAAAUCAGGGAUUGGUGGUGUUUGGGGAUUGAGAAAAUGGAAGAGAAUGUGAAAGAAAAAAAAAACAGAGAAAAUCUUUUUUAAAAGUUUGUAAUAAACCUCGAAUUUAUACAUAUGAUUUUACCCACUUUGACUUGUUUGUAAGUUCUAAUUGUGAUAUAAGAAUUUUUAAUUACGAAUCGUAAAGGAUUGAGAAUGAUCGUCUAAUAAUUUGAACCCACCAAGAACUGAGCCACGGCAUUAUAAGCCCUACAACUAAAACCAAAGAAUACUAGUGCUUAAUUACAACAGUUAAGAAUCAUAUUUUGUUAAGCCAACUUUAUUACCUAUAUAGUUCAACUAAAUGAGAGUGAUCUAAGUGUAACUGUCGUUAUUUUGGAUGUAAAAAUAAAAAUUUAUUAAUGUUCUAAAGUGACUCAUUUUCAUCAUAAUUUUUGCAUAAAGUAUCAAAAAUGAAUUUUAGUGCUAAAGGGGAAAAAAGUUGAGAGAACCUAAAAAUUAACCAAAGAUUUGUGGAGAAAAGAAAAGGGCAAUAAUUCAAUAUCUUGUCACGUUAGACCCAUUGACCUAAUAUCUUAUUUGCCGUUUAUUUAGCCCUGUUCACAAGUCGAUAAACGAGGAGACCGCGGGUGACAGGACAGAGUACUUUGUUUCUUAAAACAACAAUUUUAUGUUUGUAGAAAGGGAAAAUAUCCACCGUCCACCUGAUUUUGUCCACUUUUUUUAAAAUACACAAAUUCUAAUUUUUUUAGCUGCGCUCCACAUGACCUUAUAAUUUUUUUCACAUUUCCACCUCCGUCUGUAAACCGUCAAUAAAACUAACGGAAUUUUGUCCAAAUUACUUUUUAACCCCGAAAAUAAAAAAUUAUAUAUUUACCCUCAAUAAACGCCAAAAUAUUAACUUUGUGAGUAUUGUAGCCCUAGAUAAAGACUGAAAAUCUUGAAAUCCUUUCAAAAAUUUUAUUUUUUAAACAAAUAUUAUAAAAUCUCGCAAUCUCGCAACACAAAAGGACCCCACAUUUUCUCGGGAACCAAACAGGAACAGACGGAAGAAAGCGAACCUGCCAGAGAAGGACAGGAUUGGAAGUCCGCCCGGCGGGCUCUUCGGCCUCGAGCUCAAUCGGCGGCGGAAGAAUCGGACGCAUGGCGUCCGGAAACCUAGCCAAGCUCGGCUUCACACUACUAGCAUUACCGUCAUCGGCUUCACUAACCGUUGACGUUUUGGCAGUCCCUUUAGAAACAACAGUUUCUUCUGCUUUCUUAGGUUGUUGAUUAAAGAAGAAAGGGAGAUUGAGUUGGAAUUUCGGCAACCGCGAGAGUAUGCUUUUGUUUUCUUGUUUUCUGGGACUGGAAGCAAUUUCUGUGUUUUCCGCCAUGACUAUGGUCGAUGACUUUCAGAGUAGAAGAUUUUGGCUUUGCCUUUGCUUUUUCUUUCUUUUUUUUAUUUUUUUAAAAGCGAAAAUUUCACCACCUCUCGUUUCUUGCUUGCCUCUGCAGCUUCUCUUUCUUCACCUUCACUUUUAUUUCUCUCUUGCUUAUUAUUAAAUAUUGGAGCAGAAAAUAAUAAGUUUGUAAAGUGUGCGAACAGGUUUUUGGGUUCUUUUGAGUCUUUAUUUUCGCUCUCAAUUUGUGUGUCUUGUGCAGCCAUGAAUGCGAAUGUGGUGAGUAGAGACCAGAGAAUAAUUAAGCUUUGAGCUUCGAGUUUAUCAAAGCUUUUGUUUGGAUUCUUGAAACUGAAAUAACUUUUUUUUUUGCUUAUUACAGAUCUUAAACGACGUCGUUUUUUAAGCCCAAGUGAAAUUAUCAUUUUAGCCUUAUGACAUCAGCAACGCCUUGACGGUUUGCAGACGGAGGUGGAAAUGUGAAAAAAAUUAUAAGUUCAGGUGGAGCGCAGCUAAAAAAUUUAGGAUUUGUAUAUUUUUAAAAAAGUAAACAAAAUCAGGUGGACGGUGGAUAUUUCCCCUUGUAGAAAUAGACAACUAAUACUCUAGAAAAUCAUGGAUUGAUGGUGUUUGGGGAUCAUGAAAAUGAAAGAGAAAGUGAAAGAAAAAGGAAUAGAGAAAAUCGUUAUUAGAAGAAACAGAAACGUAUGAUACACUAUAAAGGUUCUAAGCUCAAAUGAGCUAUUUAUAGAAUAAAUCAGAACACUCUAGACCAAUAACUAAUAUUAGCUAAAAACAUCCGGUGCCAGCUCAGCAAUCUGUUAAGAGUGCACUUGCGUGAAUGGCAUACAGUUACACAGCAACAGCCUUGCAUUGUAACAACCUUCUAACAGUCUUGAAUCCAAAUACUCUUGUGCCCCUUCCUUAGCCAUAAUAUGAUCCCUGUGAUGAACCUAAUACUCCAACAUAUACAACUUUAAUAAAGGUGACAGACAAGAUGAAAUCAAGUGAAGUUAAAGCAUAAAAGACAUAAUCAGAUAAGUGAAUCCCUUCAUGCUCUGUUCGAAAUAGAGUUUAAAACAAUUGACAAUUGUUGGGAAUUUUUGGCUCCCACCCAAGAUCUCCGCUAGCAAUAUGUCAAAUAAAUAACAAAUAAAAAAAUACAAUAGAGAAUACUCCAAUCACACAACACAAGAGUUACCUGAAAAACUCUAUUACCGAAAAAUUGUUACAACCUCUCUCUCAAAUUAUUUUAUCUUACAUCCAAACCCCAAAUAUACCCAAAGCUUCCCACACAAUCACUGCACCCUCUUUUCACUAACUCCCUAGUUAUUCACUUCCAUCUCUCUUUUGGCACUUCAAUGAGUUUCCGAUUUACAGAUCUUGCAGCUUUUCUCAUUGUCAAUGAAAAUGGUCCAAAAUCCGGAUGAACAAAUCUAGCAGCCACCACACCAGCUUGAUAAUUUGGGCCAAGCGUGUUGACAUUUUACCAUACCUUUGAUGAAGCAUUCAUUGUGUAUGCAUGGAAGUCUUUGCAUGGAUUAGCACUCAUCCAUUCAUUCAAUGCAAGAGAAAUCUAAGAGAUAAUGCCAGCAAUUAAUGCUCAAAUGAAGCUAAUUAAAUUUCCAGCAGAACGCACAGAAAUUUUUAGUUUUCUUUCUCAAUUUUUUUCUGCAAAUGAACAUUAAACUAUUCAAGUCACUGCCAUCCGACAGCAAUUGACAGAACUUGUCUUACUGAAUUUAGAGACACAUUACAACCAUGGAUUCAAAAUGAUGUCUUGAAAACAUAAUUUUAAGCAAUAGUACAUGAUCAUUUUGAACAUUACAAAUGGAUAUAUAAUUAAUUAAGUGUAAGAUCCAUGCACUUCAAGUAAUAAUCUAGUCACAUUUGACAGAAAGCAUUUAGCAAUCCACAAACACUAAUACGUACCUAGCUGCAUAAUCAGUAGCCAUCUUCAAACUAAGACCAAACCCAAAACUAGAUAUCCUACUCCAUAUUUGCUUCAAUAGCUCGUAUUAACCACUUAACUAUGCCAAACAGAAACCCAUCUAACACUUCAUCACUCAAACUAAACCCAAAAAUUACUACACACUUUGAAAUAGACAAGCCCUAUUAAAAAUACACAAAGCACGGAUGAUGCUAUCAUAGCUCAUGAUUAGCUCGGCAUCUCUCUGUCAAGUAAUUUAGUAUGCUUUGUACCUAUUAAUUAUAUUCCACAAAGCACAGAUGUUUAUUUGAGAACUUUCUCUCCUUUCAACCUACUAGGCCAAAAGCCUUCUACACAGAUUCCAGCAAACAAUCAUUAUACAGCACCAAAAAACGAGACUGGAUUAAUUGACAAGCACUAAUGAAAGUACAGCUAUUAGCUAUUUAUAAAUUGUCACUCAAAUCAAAUAAUACCUGUGUCGACCUGCAACAUUGUCCCAUAUAAGAAGCCCCAGUUGCUGUGCAAAAAGCCCCAGUUGCUGUACAAAAGGCUCAUUACUCUCCUUCUUCUCUUUCUCCAUUCUCUCCUCUGCUGCAUCAUUCUUUUAGCACCAUUGCCAUUAUCAUUAUUCCCUUUACUCACUUCCACUGCACCCUCCGUACUCCUUAUGCAUCAUUACCCUCUAUUCCUUUGACUUUAACCGCCCCAUCAUUCCUCCCCUCUUCUUCAUAAACUUCUUCUUCCUCUACAGCCUCAUAAACAUCCCCUUCUUCAUCUUCUUCUUCUAAUUCUCUGUCAUGUUCCUCUUCUUCAUCAUCAUCAUCAUCAUACUCAGCUGGAGCACCACCUUGGCCAUCAGAUUCAAUGUAAGAGUGAAUCUGGACCCUUCAAUUCAUUCGACGCUCAAAUUAUGUCUCCUCCUCAUCAUCAUCGCUUGUUUCCCUUCUGCGCAUAAUGAGAGAGUGUUUCACUUCAUCUGGAUCGCUCUCAUACUCAUCCACAGCCUCCGCUUCUCCCGCAGGAAUGUGGACACUUUGAACUAUUGGAAGCUCUGAAUCUUUAUCCUCCUCAACCUCCUCAUCGCUGGCUUCCCUUCUGCGCAUCGCAAGAGAGCGUUUCACUUCAUCUGGAUCGCUAUCAUACUCCUCCACCGCCUCUGCUUCUUCUGCAGCUGCGGCCGCCGUUGUAGUAUCGCUAGCCAGCAAUUAAUUAUUAAAAGCCCAGUCGUUUUAUGAAUUUUAAUUUUAAUUUUAUAAAAAUAUUCGAAAUCGCACUUAACCCUUCAAACUGAAACCGUAACUAGAGGAAAUUGCACUCAAGCAAAACCAAAUAAUCUGAAAAUCCCUAAAAUUCCAAAUUAUUUUCAGAACCGAACAACAAUUGAAGGAUACGAGACAAGCAAAAUCCCCUAAAAAAUACUAAAUUUUGAAGCGAAUCCUCGAUAAUCGAAACCCUAGAGAGGUUAAAUUGAGAUUUUGAAGGAUUGGGAUCUAGGUUUAGCGAUUCUCGAGAAACCCUAGAUCUUUAGGGAACGAGGAGAAUUUUUUAUAAUUUCCACUUUUAAAUAAGGGAAAAUGACAUAG
rnacentral:lncRNA from 1 species